UACGUAGGGUGCAAGCGUUGUCCGGAAUUAUUGGGCGUAAAGAGCUCGUAGGCGGUCUGUCGCGUCGAAUGUGAAAACCCGGGGCUCAACCCCGGGCCUGCAUUCGAUACGGGCAGACUAGAGUUCGGUAGGGGAGUCUGGAAUUCCUGGUGUAGCGGUGAAAUGCGCAGAUAUCAGGAGGAACACCGGUGGCGAAGGCGGCGACCUGGGUCGAGACUGACGCUGAGGCGCGAAAGCGUGGGGAGCAAACAGG
rnacentral:rRNA from 1 species